CGCACGGGUGAGUAAUACGUAUCCAACCUGCCGUCUACUCUUGGCCAGCCUUCUGAAAGGAAGAUUAAUCCAGGAUGGCAUCAUGAGUUCACAUGUCCGCAUGAUUAAAGGUAUUUUCCGGUAGACGAUGGGGAUGCGUUCCAUUAGAUAGUAGGCGGGGUAACGGCCCACCUAGUCAACGAUGGAUAGGGGUUCUGAGAGGAAGGUCCCCCACAUUGGAACUGAGACACGGUCCAA
rnacentral:rRNA from 1 species